rnacentral:lncRNA from 1 species
AGGCCGGCUGGCCGCAGGGGAACCUUUCCUCUCCGGGUUCAGGGUCCGGGAGCAAACCCCGAGCUGCGGCAAAAAGGGCUGGUAGGCUCUCCUGCACCCCCGCUUGCUCCCCCGCCUUCCCUGUGUCCCCCGGCUUUUCCAGGAGGAAGAUGGGGUACCCAGCGGGGGUGGGGCGCGCCGGGCCGCGGAGCCGGGCUGUCACGUGCCCCCCUCUCCCCACACCCCCCGCCACUGCGGCGGGAGUUCCAAUCAGAGCGCGCCAGGGGGCUCCUCCCGGGCAGGAACCACCCGGCUCGGCGGCGGAGGGUGGGCCGCCGUCACCUGACCGCCCGCCCCCGCCCCCCGCGAGUAAGGGGCGGUGGUAGCGUCUGCUCGGUUACAAAUGGCCCCUCCCGCCCCGCUCGCCCGCUCGCUCGGGCUCGGCGCGGACCCGCCCGGGAGCGCUCCUCCCGCCGGCUGCCGGCGUCCCGCCGCCCUGCCCGGAGCCGGCCGGCGGUCCCCGCCAACCCCCGAGGGCGCUCCUGGCACCCAGCACGGAGGCUUGCCCGCGGAGGUCGCGCCGGGAGACUGGACCGCGGUAGCGCGCGGCUUGCCUUCCCGCAGGUGAACUUUGAUAUGGUGGACGGUGACUCUUCUCCUGCAUGCGAGUGGUGGUUCAAACCCUCUAAACGCAAGGCUGACUGAUCCCUUCAAGAGCGGCCUUCUUGAGCAGCAUUGUUCAAUGGAACUUUCUGCAAUGACAGGAAUGUUUGCUUUCCGCACCACCGGGUACAGAGCCACACGCCAUGUGGAGCUACUGAGCGCUUGAAGGUGGCUAGUGUGACUCAGAAACUGACCUUCAAAACCUUAUUUGAUUUUAAUUAAAAUGUAAAUUAAAAAGCCACAUGUAGCUGGGGCUGCAUGUAUUG